rnacentral:tRNA from 1 species
GCCAGUUUGGCUCAGUGGAUAGAGCAUCAGCCUGCAGACUGAAAGGUCCCAGGUUUGAUUCCAGGCAAAGGGCA